rnacentral:tRNA from 1 species
AGCUCUGGAACGCUUUUUUAGCGUUCUUCUCCAGAUUUGCACUCUGGCGUUAACACCGCAGAAC